GACAGAGGUGCCAAGCGUUAGGCGGAAUCACUGGGCUUAAAGCGUGUGUAGGCGGAUCGUUAAGUACCUUGUGAAAUCCCACGGCUCAACCGUGGAACUGCUGGGUAUACUGGCGAUCUUGAGCCACCUAGGGGCGAGCGGAACAAGCGGUGGAGCGGUGAAAUGCGUAGAUAUCGCUUGGAACGCCAAUGGUGAAAACAGCUCGCUGGGGGUGUGCUGACGCUGAGACAGAACGAGCCAGGGAGACGGAA
rnacentral:rRNA from 1 species